UCACUUCAGCAGCACAUAUACUAAAAUUGGAACGAUACAGAGAAGAUUAGCAUUGCCCCUGCACAAGGGUCACAUGUAAAUUCGUGAAGCCUUUCAUAUUUGG